GGUGGAAUUUUCCGCAAUGGGCGCAAGCCUGACGGAGCAAGACCGCGUGAGGGAGGAAGGCUCUUGGGUUGUAAACCUCUUUUAUCAGGGAAGAAGAUCUGACGGUACCUGAUGAAUCAGCAUCGGCUAACUCCGUGCCAGCAGCCGCGGUAAUACGGAGGAUGCAAGCGUUAUCCGGAUUUAUUGGGCGUAAAGCGUCCGCAGGUGGUUUUUCAAGUCUGCUGUUAAAGCGCAGAGCUUAACUCUGUAACGGCGGUGGAAACUGAGAGACUAGAGUAUGGUAGGGGUUGCGGGAAUUCCCAGUGUAGCGGUGAAAUGCGUAGAUAUUGGGAAGAACACCAGCGGCGAAAGCGCGCAACUGGGCCAUUACUGACACUCAUGGACGAAAGCUAGGGGAGCGAAAGGGAUUAGAUACCCCUGUAGUCCUAGCUGUAAACGAUGGGUACUAGGUGUUGACCGUAUCGACCCGGUCAGUGCCGUAGCUAACGCGUUAAGUACCC
rnacentral:rRNA from 1 species